rnacentral:rRNA from 1 species
UACGUAGGGUGCGAGCGUUGUCCGGAAUUAUUGGGCGUAAAGAGCUCGUAGGCGGUGUGUCACGUCGUUCGUGAAAACCUGCAGCUUAACUGUGGGCGUGCGGUCGAUACGGGCAGACUGGAGGUAUGCAGGGGAGAACGGAAUUCCUGGUGUAGCGGCGAAAUGCGCAGAUAUCAGGAGGAACACCGGUGGCGAAGGCGGUUCUCUGGGCAUGUCCUGACGCUGAGGAGCGAAAGUGUGGGGAGCGAACAGG